rnacentral:rRNA from 1 species
AAAAAAGGUAAGCUACUAAGAGCGAAUGGUGGAUGCCUUGACUGGUAAAGGCGAUGAAGGACGUACUAGACUGCGAUAAGCUACGGGGAGCUGUCAAGAAGCUUUGAUCCGUAGAUUUCCGAAUGGGGCAACCCAAUGUAUAGAGAUAUACAUUACCUAUAUAGGAGCGAACGAGGGGAAUUGAAACAUCUUAGUACCCUCAGGAAAAGAAAUCAAUAGAGAUUGCGUCAGUAGCGGCGAGCGAAAGCGCAAGAGGGCAAACCCAGUGCUUGCACUGGGGGUUGUAGGACUGCAAUGUGCAAGAGGUAAGUUUAGCAGAACAUUCUGGAAAGUAUAACCAUAGAGGGUGAUAGUCCCGUAUGCGAAAAACAAACCUUAUCUAGCAGUAUCCUGAGUAGGGCGGGACACGAGGAAUCCUGUCUGAAUCCGGGUCGACCACGAUCCAACCCUAAAUACUAAUACCAGAUCGAUAGUGCACAAGUACCGUGAGGGAAAGGUGAAAAGAACUGAGGUGAUCAGAGUGAAAUAGAACCUGAAACCAUUUGCUUACAAUCAUUCAGAGCCCUAUGUAGCAAUACAGGGUGAUGGACUGCCUUUUGCAUAAUGAGCCUGCGAGUUGUGGUGUCUGGCAAGGUUAAGCAAACGCGAAGCCGUAGCGAAAGCGAGUCUGAAUAGGGCGCUUAGUCAGAUGCUGCAGACCCGAAACGAAGUGAUCUAUCCAUGAGCAAGUUGAAGCUAGUGUAAGAACUAGUGGAGGACUGAACCCAUAGGCGUUGAAAAGCCCCGGGAUGACUUGUGGAUAGGGGUGAAAGGCCAAUCAAACUUCGUGAUAGCUGGUUCUCUCCGAAAUAUAUUUAGGUAUAGCGUUGUGUCGUAAUAUAAGGGGGUAGAGCACUGAAUGGGCUAGGGCAUACACCAAUGUACCAAACCCUAUCAAACUCCGAAUACCUUAUAUGUAAUCACAGCAGUCAGGCGGCGAGUGAUAAAAUCCGUCGUCAAGAGGGAAACAACCCAGACUACCAGCUAAGGUCCCUAAAUCUUACUUAAGUGGAAAACGAUGUGAAGUUACUUAAACAACCAGGAGGUUGGCUUAGAAGCAGCCAUCCUUUAAAGAAAGCGUAAUAGCUCACUGGUCUAGUGAUUUUGCGCGGAAAA